AUUGAACGCUGGCGGCAGGCCUAACACAUGCAAGUCGAGCGGAUGAAGGGAGCUUGCUCCUGGAUUCAGCGGCGGACGGGUGAGUAAUGCCUAGGAAUCUGCCUGGUAGUGGGGGAUAACGUCCGGAAACGGGCGCUAAUACCGCAUACGACCUGAGGGAGAAAGUGGUGGAUCUUCGGACCUCACGCUAACAGAUGAGCCUAGGUCGGAUUAGCUAGUGGGUGGGGUAAAGGCCUACCAAGGCGACGAUCCGUAACUGGUCUGAGAGGAUGAUCAGUCAAACUGGAACUGAGACACGGUCCAGACUCCUACGGGAGGAAGCAGUGGGGAAUAUUGGACAAUGGGCGAAAGCCUGAUCCAGCCAUGCGGCGUGUGUGAAGAAGGUCUUCGGAUUUUAAAGCACUUUAAGUUGGGAGGAAGGGCAGUAAGUUAAUACCUUGCUGUUUUGACGUUACCAACAGAAUAAGCACCGGCUAACUUCGUG
rnacentral:rRNA from 1 species